AGUCCUGGAUCAGUUGGAAGCGGGAAACCCUCCUGGGGUGGGAAGGCCCCUCACCUGGCGGAGAAGGGAGGGGCGUUAGGGAGCGGCGAUGGGGGAGGGGGCGCGUCGGCCGAUGACAUCACCUCCCACCCACCCCACUCCCCUGGCCAGACUGGGGUCUGGGAGCCCAAGGGCCCCCAUCUUUGCAAAAAGAGUCCAUUUCAGGGUUUGGAGGCUGACACGCCCUGCUUGGAAGGGACUAAGGGUUGCCAAGCCCGUGUCCUUAUCCGGCUACUGGGGACAAAUAUCUGUUCCCGACCCCUUUCCUCUGCUCCCUGCCACUGAAGCUCCAUGAAGCAGUUCCCCGGCCCCAUUUCUGGUCACAGUGCCUGGUGCACAGCAGGUGCUCAGUGAGGAUGAGCUGCCAGCAAGUUCAAAGCGCAAGGAUCGCUGGUUGCUGGCUUCCGGGGCGGGGUGGGGGUGGGGGGUGGGGUGGAUUUCCGUUGGCGCCCUCCCAAAGACAUAGGACCCUGUGACUCAGCACCCUCAAAUCUGUAGGUGCUGCCAUGGCAGGGUCUGGGAGCAGGAACAGCCCCUCACUGAGCACCUGCUUCGCACCAGACCCAGGCGAGCCUCAGUGAUCUCAGUGGCCACGGUGGUAAAGAGGAGAAAAAUCAAAACGAGUUAUCGCCAGCUUUCCAGGUGGGAAAACUGAAGCUCGGAGAAGUGAAGCAGCUGGGCCACUCAGCCUGGUGGCCACGGAGAGAUGACAACUACCUCCGCGGCUUUCACUGUCCGCAGGUUUCACCUGGAUUGGCCGCGCCAUCUGUGGAGAGACAGAGGACGGAGGUCAAGGUCAGUAGUGGGGGUGAUGGGGGUGGGAACUUCACUUGAGCUCUGCCAGGCAAUCCUGGCCACCUCCCCAGCCUCAGCAUCCCACCAACCUCUGGCAGCAACAAGCAUGCCUCCCCAGGUGUAUCAAUUUGCAAUGACAGCCCAACUCCUGCAGUGCCUGUAUGUGAUGUGACUUUGUGGUUCUUCUCAUCAAGAACUGGAGUCUAUUUCCCCACCUUUUGCAUCUGGACUUGGCCAUGUAACUUGCAUUAACCAAAAGAAUGUGGUGAGUGUGAAGUUGUGGAGUUCUAAGUCUUGGCCUCAAGUGACCUUGUAGCUUCCAUUCUUGCUAUCUUGGAACCCUUGGGAUUGCCAAAGACAAGUUCAGGUGAGCUACUGGAGGACGGAAUAGCUCACCUACAGAGACACCUGCUGACAGCACAUGGGAGUCCUGGCCCAGCUAGCUCCCGCCGAGCCCCAACUGACUGCAACUGCAUGAAUGACUAAGGACAAACCAGCAGAAGAACUGCCCAGCUAAGCCCAGCCUGGGAUUGUUAACCUACAGAAUCAUGAAGAAAUAAAAUGUUUGGGCCAGUCUGUUACUCAUCAGUGGCUGACUGAUACACCAAGGCAGCUAUUUUCAGUUGGCUCUCUUGGGUGGAGGGAACUGUCACAUCUGAAUGGACCAGCCUGCAAUCUGGACUCACUGUUCUGGAUAAUUUUCUUUUCUUUUUUGGCCACUCCAUGGCAUAUGGAUUUCCUGGGAUCAGAUCCCAGCCACAAAUUGAGACCUAUGCUGCAGCUUUGGCAAUGCCAGGUCCUAUAACUUGUCGUGCAAGGCCAGGGAUUGAACCUGUGUCUUGGUGCUGCAGAGGCACCACCAGUCCUGUUGUGCCACAUAAGGAACUCCUGUUCUGGAUACUUCUGUUCCCCACCCCCAGCACUGAAACUGAUGUUUAAUGGAAGAAAUCUUUCCCUAACACCCGGUCCUCCAACUUGCUCAGCCAUGGAUAUAAGCUAAUGUGGAUAUUUCAGAACAGACUUGAAGGGAUGUGAGGUGGGGUGGCAUUUGCCUCCCCACUGGUUCUAGGACAGAAUCUCCCUCUCAACCUACUGUCUCUGGUGAACUAAUCACCCUUCAAAACCCAGCUUAAAAGCCCCCAUGGGGGCAAUCCUUCCACCUUUCUGGGUUCCUUCCUCCCUCUGCCUCAGGGCAGGAAAUGUCUAUGCCUUUCUCUGUCUCCCUCCAGGCUGAGACCAUAGCAUUAUCCUCCACCCCCUCAUAGGGCAGGGUACAUGAGAGGAGUUUGCUGAAUCAAACUGACCAGGAGGAAGUAGCCAACACCUACCAGCAUAGAAGGCACCUGGUUCCUCCACAGCUGGCCUUAGGUUGGAGCAAGUGCUGGUCCCAGCCCCCCACCCAGGUCAGACAAUCUCAGAGUAGAUCUCCAUUCAGAAGUGCUUGAUAAAUGUCAGUUUUUCUGAUCACCAUGCAGUUGCCCAGCAAGCUUCAGAGAGAGGCACAAUUUUUACCCCAUUUUUAUGGAUGUCAAAAUCAAGGCCUGCAAAGGUUAUUUGUCUGCUCCCCCUCCCCUCUGAGAGCCUCUCCCCUUCAAAUAAUCUCUCUGAGUGUAUGUCCAGGGCAUAUAUGGGCCUUCUCAAUUUGAACUCAGCUUUGGGAACCCCAGAACCAGAGAGGCCUCUGUCUCCUGCUUCCAAUGCCCAUAAUUCCCCCAGCCCAAUCUUCCAGCUGCCCAGUCACACCCUCAGAGGGUCCCUGACCACCUGGGAAAGGCCAAACCACAUCUCCUUUCCCCCCACCCUGACAUACCCAGACACACCCUGGCCCCUCUCCACCUGGGUACCACACCCCUCUAGCUGGAGGCAGGAGGGGAGAGUAUUUCAACCAGAUGGGACCAGUUUCUGGGCUAGGGGCAGACUGAAGUGGUGAUGGGAGGUGGGAGGGAGAGGGCACCUGAGCUCCAGACUUCUGUUCCCCCACCCCUCCACCGGCCUCUGCUGGCCCUCACCUCCUCCCCCCUUCCCAGCACCUUGGGCAGAUGAGGAUGGGGUUGCCAUGGCAAUGCUGAUUCACCACACGGAAGCUGGCAAUUGUUGUUGCCAUGGAAACCGCCUCUUAGGGGCGAGCCCAGCUCCUGCCUUGCACAAAAGAGAUAUUUAAAUAUAAUCUUCUGGAGAUGGAUGAGUUGAGGGAGGGAGCGAGGGAGGGGGACCAU